CUGCACCUCUCUUUUGACAAGCGACGCCCGCCAGACCAACAGCGAUGAAGCGCCUGGGACUAAUUGCGUUUGCAAUCAUCACCCUCGUCCUUUAUGCAGAUGGAUAUUUGGCAGGAGAUAACUUAGCCCAAUACGCAGCAACCAAAAGAGCGACUAAUCUUGGAGGGAGAGUG